rnacentral:rRNA from 1 species
UUUGGAAUAACGUUCCGAAAGGAACGCUAAUACCAAAUAAUGUCUUCGGACCAAAGAUUUAUCGCCUUUGGAUGGGCCCGCGUAGGAUUAGCUAGUUGGUGAGGUAAUGGCUCACCAAGGCGACGAUCCUUAGCUGGUCUUAGAGGAUGAUCAGCCACACUGGGACUGAGACACGGCCCAGACUCCUACGGGAGGCAGCAGUGGGGAAUAUUGGACAAUGGGCGAAAGCCUGAUCCAGCAAUGCCGCGUGAGUGAUGAAGGCCUUAGGGUUGUAAAGCUCUUUUACCAGGGAUGAUAAUGACAGUACCUGGAGAAUAAGCUCCGGCUAACUCCGUGCCAGCAGCCGCGGUAAUACGGAGGGAGCUAGCGUUGUUCGGAAAUACUGGGCGUAAAGCGCACGUAGGCGGUCGCGCAAGUCAGGGGUGAAAUCCCGGGGCUCAACCCCGGAACUGCCCUUGAAACUGCAUGACUAGAAUACUGGAGAGGCAAGUGGAAUUCCGAGUGUAGAGGUGAAAUUCGUAGAUAUUCGGAAGAACACCAGUGGCGAAGGCGACUUGCUGGACAGUGAUUGACGCUGAGGUGCGAAAGCGUGGGGA